rfam:Hordeum vulgare subsp. vulgare, WGS project CAJW01000000 data, contig: morex_contig_1579693
AAUAUAAUCCCUCCGGCCCAAAAUUCUUGUCUUAGAUUUGUCUAAAUAUAAAUGUGUCUAGUCACGUUUUAGUAUUUAGAUACAUCUAUUUGUAAACAAACCUAAGACAAGAAUUUUGAAACGGAGGGAGUAAUUU